AGUGAACGCUGGCGGUAGGCCUAACACAUGCAUGUCGAACGGCGGCACAGUAAGAGCUUGCUCUUACGGGUGGCGAGUGGCGGACGGGUGAGGAAUACAUCGGAAUCUACUUUUUCGUGGGGGAUAACGUAGGGAAACUUACGCUAAUACCGCAUACGACCUACGGGUGAAAGCAGGGGAUCUUCGGACCUUGCGCGAUUGAAUGAGCCGAUGUCGGAUUAGCUAGUUGGCGGGGUAAAGGCCCACCAAGGCGACGAUCCGUAGCUGGUCUGAGAGGAUGAUCAGCCACACUGGAACUGAGACACGGUCCAGACUCCUACGGGAGGCAGCAGUGGGGAAUAUUGGACAAUGGGCGCAAGCCUGAUCCAGCCAUACCGCGUGGGUGAAGAAGGCCUUCGGGUUGUAAAGCCCUUUUGUUGGGAAAGAAAAGCAGCAGGUUAAUACCCCGCUGUUCUGACGGUACCCAAAGAAUAAGCACCGGCUAACUUCGUG
rnacentral:rRNA from 1 species